CUUUAUAUAAUUCAGUUACUGCACUGGAUGGGAAAAGGAAGACCAACCAAGCAACCACCUUAUCAAAAAUACAAACCAAAUGAACCAACCGGGCGCGGUGGCUCAAGCCUGUAA